rnacentral:tRNA from 1 species
AAUGAUUAAGAAGAAAAUUUCUUAUAAA